rnacentral:rRNA from 1 species
UACGGAGGGGGCUAGCGUUGUUCGGAAUUACUGGGCGUAAAGCGCACGUAGGCGGCUUUGUAAGUUAGAGGUGAAAGCCCGGGGCUCAACUCCGGAAUUGCCUUUAAAACUGCAUCGCUCGAAUUGUGGAGAGGUAAGUGGAAUUCCGAGUGUAGAGGUGAAGUUCGUAGAUAUUCGGAAGAACACCAGUGGCGAAGGCGACUUACUGGACACAUAUUGACGCUGAGGUGCGAAAGCGUGGGGAGCAAACAGG